rnacentral:rRNA from 1 species
UGGGGAAUAUUGGACAAUGGGCGCAAGCCUGAUCCAGCCACGCCGCGUGAGUGAUGAAGGCCUUCGGGUCGUAAAGCUCUGUGGGGAGGGACGCGGUACCUCCUUAGCAAGCACCGGCUAACUUCGUGCCAGCAGCCGCGGUAAUACGAAGGGUGCAAACGUUGCUCGGAAUCAUUGGGCGUAAAUCGCACGUAGGCGGCUUCGCAAGUCGGAUGUGAAAUCCCUCGGCUCAACCAAGGACGUGCAUCCGAAACUGCGGAGCUUGAGUACAGAAGAGGAUCGCGGAAUUCCCGGUGUAGAGGUGAAAUUCGUAGAUAUCGGGAGGAAUACCAGUGGCGAAGGCGGCGAUCUGGGCUGAUACUGACGCUGAGGUGCGAAAGCGUGGGGAGCAAACAGGAUUAGAUACCC